ensembl:lncRNA
UUUUUUUUUUUUUUUUUUUUUGGCUUUUUGCCAUUUCUUGGGUUGCUUUCGAGGCAUAUGGAGGUUCCCAUAUGGAACUAGGAGUCCAAUCGGAGCUGUAGCCACCAGCCUACACCAGAGCCACAGCAACACGGGAUCCGAGCCGCGUCUGCAACCUAUACCACAGCUCACGGCAACGCCGGAUCCUUAACCCACUGAGCAAGACCAGGGAUCAAACCCACAACCUCAUGGUUCCUAGUCAGAUCGCCAACCACUGUGCCAUGAUGGGAACUCCAUAAAACACUCUUAAACUAAGGUAUAAAGUCAAGCAAGUUUGCAGGAUAUAGAGUACUAUUUUAUUUAUUUAUUUAUUUUUGUCUUUUUAGGGCUGUACCCACUGCAUAUGGAGGUUCCCAGGUGUGGCCCUAAAAAGCAAAAAAAAGUAAAAAGAAAAAAGAAAUGACUAAGGAGUCCCCUCGGCUCGGCAGGUUAAGGAUCUGGUGUUGUCACAGCAGUGGCUCAGGUCACUGCUGUGGCACGGGUUCGAUCCCUGGCCUGGGAACUUCCACAUGCCAUAGGUGCAGCCAAAAAAAAAAGAGAGAGAGAGACAUGAUUAUAAUCCAUAAACUGGUAAAAGCGACAGGCUCUGGGGAAAGAAAGGAAAAGGUGGAAAGAAGCCUUGCUUUGCACUGCACACGUUUUGUAGUUUUUGAAUCUGCAAUUUAUACAAGAAUUCCUAAUUUUAAAAAGCUGACUGUGAGGAAGGACUUCAACAGCAUCAGAAAACGCCAAUUAUGCGUGACAAAGCUGUGACUGCAUUAAAGUGUAAAAUCACAUACCAGUGAAAAAGGAAAUCAUACAGAAACAAUAAUCGCGCAUUAGCAAUUUUUUCCUGCUUAUUAAGUAAGUUCUAAAUACUCCACAUGGUCAUUCAUUUACUUCCAUAAUUUAACAUACAUGUUUAACAAAAUUUUUUAACUGAAAGAUUGCAAAAGUGGAACCUUUUUUUCAGGUCUGCCUCUCCUUACCCUCAAACUCAAGAAGACACUCCAGCCAAGUGCUGGGACAGGAUUUAAAGCCAUCAGUCAAAGGACACCUGCCAUUCAUGUGAAGAGUUUCUAACAUGUUAGAACCUGGCUCCUAAAGACUUCCAUUCAGAACACGGUAGGUGGCCCAGCCUCAGGGUUCAGCCACAAUCAGGACUCUUUUUCGCUGUGUUGUUGCUUUUCUUUUUCCCUUCCACGAAGCCAUCGUUUAUUCCUUCACAUUUUUAAGCACAUAUACGCUCUUCCAAGCAAAGAGACCAUUUCUUACUCAUCUUUGAAUAUCCAACAGGCUGUAAUGCAAUGUUUUCUUACGCACAGCAAAUGCUCAGUAAGUAUUUAGUUAUUUAUUUGUCUUCUGUCUUUUUAGGGCCGCACCCACAGCACACGGAGCUUCCCAGGCGAGGUGUCAAACUGGAGCUACAGCUGCCGGCCUACACCACAGCCACAGGAAUGCCGGAUCCGAGCCAUGUCUGCGGCCUAAACCACAGUUCCUAGGAAUGCCAGAUCCUUGACCCACUGAGCAAGGCCAGGGAUCGAAUCCACGUCCUCAUGGCUACUAGUCAGGUUUGUUAACCGCUAAGCCACCACAGGAACACCCUUGGUAAGUACUUACGAAAUAGGCAGUAUCAUAGGCAGAAUUCCAGAACAGACUGUAUGAAACAUGAAAAGCAGUGAGGACAUAGAGCAGGAAGCACUGAUCACUGGAGAUUCAGUGAAGUCAUGCAAAAAAAGGCACUACUUCAAUAAAGUUAACAUAGAAUUACAGUAGAGAGUAAAGGAGAUGACACAGGCUAAACACUCAACAAGAGACAGCAAAGCAAGUGGCCUCUAAAUAAGAGUCUGGGGUUUCAAAAACAAUGUGCACACAUAUUCACGACACAUAUAGGGUAGCUAUUACGCAUCACAGAAAUAAACACAUACAUAUGCACACACACAUAGCAAAGACUGCUGGGACAGGAUUUAUCUGGACAUUAGAAAAAAUCUCUUGAUCUCAUGGAUGAAGUGGAAACGCACUGGCAGCUGCAUGAUCUGUAACUCAGGACAGCUGGGUCCAGGUGGAUGGCAAAACGGAUUUCCCAUCAUCUGGAAAGGAGGGCUCUGGAACUCCUAGAAGGCUGGACAGUCGCAUCUGUCCUAGACCCUGGCCUAGGCACCCUUCUCAUCAAUGACCUGGGAAAGGCACACCUACCAAAAAUGCACAUAACAAGUUAAUCAGGAGGGAAA